AUCAGCAGCCUUAUCACUCCGCAACUCACAACUGGCAGCCCACUGAAGCUCAGCACGGGUGAGCCUGGUCAGUACCUGGAUGGGAGACCUCCUGGGAAAAACUAAGGUUGCUGCUGGAA
rfam:Lepisosteus oculatus linkage group LG1, whole genome shotgun sequence.